ACACUCCUGCGGGAGGCAGCAGUGGGGAAUUUUGGACAAUGGGCGAAAGCCUGAUCCAGCAAUGCCGCGUGAGUGAAGAAGGCCUUCGGGUUGUAAAGCUCUUUUGUCAGGGAAGAAACGGUGAGAGCUAAUAUCUCUUGCUAAUGACGGUACCUGAAGAAUAAGCACCGGCUAACUACGUGCCAGCAGCCGCGGUAAUACGUAGGGUGCAAGCGUUAAUCGGAAUUACUGGGCGUAAAGCGUGCGCAGGCGGUUUUGUAAGUCUGAUGUGAAAUCCCCGGGCUCAACCUGGGAAUUGCAUUGGGGACUGCAAGGCUAGAAUCUGGCAGAGGGGGGUAGAAUUCCACGUGUAGCAGUAAAAUGCGUAGAUAUGUGGAGGAACACCGAUGGCGAAGGCAGCCCCCUGGGUCAAGAUUGACGCUCAUGCACGAAAGCGUGGGGAGCAAACAGGAUUAGAUACCCCUGUAGUCCCAUGA
rnacentral:rRNA from 1 species